AUGGUUGAGAAGCAUGGUCUACAGAAUAAUGUAUUUAUCACACAAAUAUAUGAGACCCGGAAGAAAUGGGCUAAGCCUUACUUCAUGGAUGUUUUUUGUGCCAUGACCAGCACGCAACGGAGUGAAAGUGCAAACCAUUUGCUGAAAGGAUAUGUGCCACCGGGAUCCCCGAUGCACCUGUUCGUUAGGCAAUAUGAGAAGAUGCAAUUUGACCGAGAUUCAGAGGAGAGCUAUCAAGAGAACAAAACCAAACUGGUAAGAAAUCGAAGUUUUGUGAGAUGUCCUUUGUCAAUCAGGUUACGUUGA
rnacentral:rRNA from 1 species